CCUGUUUCCAGCUCUGUGUGUGAUUUGUGAGUUAUCUUUUUUGUGGAUGUACUUUCAGUGUCCACGGCAUGCCGUCUUCUGCAGUGGGCUGGCGUCCUCCGCUGGGUGUAGUGCUUUUUAACAUAAAGCCAGAAUCGCUCGAAACUAGACUGGAUAAGUGAUUAUUUCAAAUGGAAUGCAGCUGAGUUAUCGAGUGGGGAUAUUGUGUAAAAAGUGUAUUAUUCACUAGCUGAGGAUGAUCACUGAAAUAGCAUUAGAGAAUAACACUUGCCUCUUCACACCGAGACUUAAAUCCCAUUGUUAGCCGGAGCAUAAAAGGGUUGCGCUUUUGUGAGUCUGAAAUGAAUACUGUUGUGUAGCGAAGGCAGUUGGAGAGGAUGCGCCCUCGCUUCGUGACGAUCAAAGGGGACGGGAGAUGGAAGCGAGGGGGCGACACGGAGCGGCAUGCAAAUGUGAGACGGGCCGUGAUGCAUAGUCCUGGGAGGCCGGAGAAGAUGUAUGAAUCUGAGCGCACUGUCAAGCACCUCAACAGAUGGCCUCGGUGACCCGCAGCAGCACGGCCGCAGGCGGAGACUUAAUGCAUCACUCACAGCCGUCUGCCAGGGGCCAAGGUGGGGUCAGAGUUCGACAAAUAGAUGAGGCCUAUAUGUCUCCCGCAGAUGGAGAUUCGGCCGACACCGGUGUGACGUAUGUCUAAUUUGCUGGACGACCCUGUACCCCUCCCAUGCCCCACCUCUGAGAAUAAUUGGGUGCUUCUGCUUCCUGACCAC